UACGUAGGGGGCAAGCGUUGUCCGGAUUUAUUGGGCGUAAAGAGCGUGUAGGCGGCCUGACAGGUCUGCUGUGAAAACUCGAGGCUCAACCUCGAGAUGUCGGCGGAAACCAUGUGGCUAGAGUCCGGAAGAGGAGAGUGGAAUUCCUGGUGUAGCGGUGAAAUGCGCAGAUAUCAGGAAGAACACCCGUGGCUAAGGCGGCUCUCUAGUACGGUACUGGACGCUGAGACGCGAAAGCGUGGGGAGCGAACAGG
rnacentral:rRNA from 1 species